CGUUUUUGAUUGAAGUGUUCCUAAACAAUUCAUCCUGAUUCUGAUGCCUGAAAUGGAAACUUCUGGCCCAGAAAGGAACAGCUUGGCAAUAGUGUGACUGGCAGAACAUUAUUUCCUAUAAUGGAAAACGAAUGGCAGCCUGAACUACAGAUACAUACUAUGAUGUCUUCUAUGUUCUCAUAAAUUGGGGAGUACAUCCCUGCAGCCUGCCGACCUCUGAAAGUAAAUGGGGUGUAUGCAGAUACACAGAAUUCCUUACAGGCUAAACCAUUUGGACUGUAAUCAGCAAGAUGCUGGAUGGUGCAGCCCUGAGGUACUAACCAAUCUAGCACCUGUGGGACUUUCAUGUACUCCAGUAGCAAACAGGAACCUCAAGAAACAUAAGCCAAGAAGCAACAAUUUCAAAUUGCAGUCCUGAUACAACAAUCCUUUCUAUAUUAUCUGUAGAACAUAAAUGGGUCUUCAUCGUGAUGCAAACUCCCUUUCAACUAGAAUCUGGGGAAGAUGAAUAAUCAGAGAUAAGAUUCAAGAUAACUUACAGAAACUGAUCUGGUUUAGAAUGUUGUACAAUGUGUACAAGUUACCACCAGUUUAAUCUGCGUAGCCUUUUGCCUGUAAAGUCAAAGCAUUUAGGCUCAUUUACACCAACUGUUCACAUUUCAGGAUCUGAGACAUUCAAAACAGCUCUUGACAUAACCUAGAAUAGCUUCUAUUUCUUUAUUUUUUUCUGCACAGUCACCUUUUUAAAGUUUUAAAGUCUGAUGUCUUGGGACCUCAUAAAGCUCAGAGCGAGUGCUCUGUGAGAGAGAUCCACUUCUCUUCUCCAACAGCACAACGUUCCUGUUUCUACUCCUGAGGAGGUGAGGUCUGUGAUAUGUCUGCUGCUCAUCUUUCCUCUCUUCUUUGGGUCAGCAGGUAGGAGCUGUCUGUGUUCAACAUUUGGAAUGAAGGAACAAAACAUUUGCCUGUCUGGCUGCAGCUUUUAAAACAGCUGUGGGAAGCUGCUCCCUAGAGCUUUGGAAUAUCAUACCCAUUGCUAAAAAAGGUGGAGUAGUGGGAGGAGAAAUAUACUGUGGGCAAUAAACUGUAAUAAGUGUGAUUUA